GACGAACGCUGGCGGCGUGCUUAACACAUGCAAGUCGAACGAUGAAGCUAGAGCUUGCUCUGGUGGAUUAGUGGCGAACGGGUGAGUAACACGUGAGUAACCUGCCCCGAACUCUGGGAUAACUGCUGGAAACGGUAGCUAAUACCGGAUAUGACCAAUGAAGGCAUCUUCUGUUGGUGGAAAGAAUUUCGGUUCGGGAUGGACUCGCGGCCUAUCAGCUUGUUGGUGAGGUAACGGCUCACCAAGGCGACGACGGGUAGCCGGCCUGAGAGGGUGAGCGGCCACACUGGGACUGAGACACGGCCCAGACUCCUACGGGAGGCAGCAGUGGGGAAUAUUGCACAAUGGGCGCAAGCCUGAUGCAGCAACGCCGCGUGAGGGAUGACGGCCUUCGGGUUGUAAACCUCUUUUAGCAGGGAAGAAGCGAAAGUGACGGUACCUGCAGAAAAAGCACCGGCUAACUACGUGCCAGCCGCCGCUGUAA
rnacentral:rRNA from 1 species